AGGAACGGGUUUUUUCUGAGAACAAUGAAGAUGUGGGGGCACUUUCUCAUCUUGAAGAGCUUUACUUAAGACUGUCCUAAGCUAAUUGAGGUCCUGCUCUUCCAACGAAACUUGAGGAUAAUGAAUGGGGGCAGACUGGAGGUUAACUUCCAAUUGCAUAAUCCAUGAAUCAGAGUCGGCUGACUUUGGUUUGCUACGUGUAACCAGGAAUCUCCUCCCUUCUUCCACACUGUCCUGAAGAGUAACUAGGACAUAUCUGCACAAGGUGAAAAUAAGGGAAUGGAAUAUUCCCAAGUCAAGGCACUAGUAUGUUGUCAUUUCUAUGAAGAGUUGGAUAGCUUCUUAAUUCACUCUGGUAUUAUUAUUUGCAGUUGUUAUUAUUUGUGUUAAUAAUGAGCUUAUCGUUUUCUUGUUUCAUUUUAACAUCAUUUUCCAUAUUUUUCCAACAUCAUGUUCCUUUGAUUCAUUUACUGUUGCGCAUUAUGGAACUUUCUUUCACAUGAUGUGUAUUUGGUUUACUACUGAUCAUAUCUGUUUCAUGUCUUAUGAUUUCUUACCAGGUAUUUUAUCCUUAUUUUGCCAAAUCUUACGGGUUUUGUAUUAGCAACUGUGGUCAACAAGCAUGGUAUCAUUCUCAAAUUUCUUGCAAUCUUUCUGAAGACUUGCUGGCGUGUUCUGUCUAACACAUUUGUCUUAUUGUUCUAAAUUAAAAAGUUGAUGAAAGAGAAGCCAUGUUUUAAGAUGGUAACAUAACCUGGUAGCCUUUUGUUUUCUUUUAAAUUCAGCCUAUUCAAUGGAUCAAGAAACUUUUCUCAGUAAUUGAUUAUUAUGCAUCACUAACGAAAUUUUAUUUACAUACAUUCCCGUGUUUUUUUUUGGAAAAAUGGAAGUAUAUAUUGCUGAACUUUUGAUGCAUACAGCAUGUUAUAACUUAUUACAAGAAUAUUUCAAAUUUUAAGUAACAUGCAUUACAAAAAACUGCAGCUUGAAGAAAUGUCACCAUUAUCUAUGAGGACUACCAUUCGGUUGUCUUUCAGAACUUCAUGUUUUCUUGUAUCAACAUACACACAUUCCUGUGUUAACAUGUGAAUAUUGUCCUUUCCUUCAUGCAAAUUAGGAGAUUUAGUUUGUUUCACUUCUGAAUUCAUUUGGUAUACUUUCGUUGACUUUUUUGUAUAUUCAUUUGUGCAUUUAUAGGUUGUACAUGGAGAAGAAGUGCAAUAGGCCUCCAUUCACUGAAGUGAGAAAGGCAAAGAAUAUUGGCAUCAAGUACUUGCGAAACAAGCUUUAGUUAUCAAAAUGGAGAAAAUGUCAGUACCUUCUGUUUCUUUCAAUUCACAAUGACAUUUUCUUCUGCAAAACAACAAUUCAAAUUCUUCUCAACUUUACGAACAGUGAAAGAUUUAAGGUAUUCACUUUGCAUGAAUGUUCUUGAAUAUGAUAAUCACUUUAUACAGGAAAAAGGAAUGUUAAUAUUGCAUGGUUUCCAGCAGAUUUAGAUGUUGUUCAUAAGUAUUCAUUGAAAUAGACAUUUUGCAUUGUCAUAUUAUAUCAUCACUGGGUGAUUUUCAGUAUUUUCCCUUUCAACGGUGACUCUGAAUUGCUUAGUUCUCUUUAAUAUUGUGGCUUCUAGAGUGAGAGUGGCAAACUUCACCCAGUUCUCUGGAAAAUUUAGAGCCUUGUGAUCAGAUGACUAGAGUUGGACAGGUCCUUGUUCCUUGUCUCCAUAAGUUUUCAUUGAAGUAGGGAUUUUGCACUGUCAUAUUAUAUAUCACUAGGUGAUUUUUAUUAUUUUCCCUUUCAACAGUGACUAUGAAUUGCUUAGCUCUCCUUAAUAUCAUGGCAUCAAGAGGGAGAGUGGCAAGAUUUCACCCAAUUCUCUGUAAAAUUUACAACCUUGUGAGCAAAUGACUAAAGUUGGCCAGGUCAUUGUUCCUUGUCUUCAUAAGUUUUCAUUGAGGUAGACAUUUUUCACUGAUAUUAAAUCAUCACUUGGUGAUUUCCAUCAUUUUCCCUUUCAAUGGUGACUCUGAAUUGCUUAGUUCUCUUUAAUAUUGUUUCAUUUAUCCUUUCAGAGCUUUUCAAGUUAUUGAGAUGUACUAUCAAAGUUUGAAGAAUGUCCAGUAUCUCAGAAACAUGAUGAAGGCAGGGUAAGCCUAUGCUUUCUGUUGGUAUACUCUACAAAGAUGUGCUUUUCAUUGUACCAUUAGGCUUAAAACUAGUCCCAAGUCAUGUCUCAUCACUUGCUAUUUGUUGUCUCUUUGAUUCUUUGUAGCUAAUUAAAAAGUAUUUUACAACAUUCUUAACAGAUAUCAUAUCCAGUAUAUUCUUCUCUUGGUCUUCCACUAAUGGACCUACAAAGCUAUAUACAAGAAAUCAAAUGCAGGUAACUCAUGCCACUAACUUAUUAUGAGUAUCAAAAUUGUGAAGGUCCUUUUUUAAUGAAAUUUCAUACUAGUUUCAAGUUCAAAAGCUACGGCAACUAGGUUAACUGCACGUUACAAUUAUUAGAAGAAAUUUUGUAACUUGUACAAAUACUUUUGUAGGACGUCAAGCACAACUAAGGCUAGCAUUGAUGCUUGACUAGUUAGUGACUUGUGCUUCCUCAGAUAUAAAGUAGACCUGCAACUUGUUCUCUUCGAUUGCAGUAGUGCUAACUGUUCUGGGCUACCAGUUACUAUUUGAGGGAUGCAUCAUCCCUUGCUUCCUAUUACUUCUGAAAUUCUGUUGCAAAUUUGAGUUAAUUAUUUUCAUUUAGUUGAGUUCCUUUAGCAUCCAAAUUUUCUUUGUUCUAGAGCUAACAAAGAAGCUUACUUUCCUCCAGAUAUAGGCACCAAUUACAUGAAAUUUCAAGUGGUCUACUACUGGCUACAGCUGGAGGUUGAAUGUCUUUGCAGCAAGUUCAGUAUGUUUCAUUUCAAAUUUGGGCUUUGUCAAAGCAAUAUAGAGGAUGAUCGUACAUUAUUGGUAGACUUCAACUUGGUGGACAAUAAGGAAAUCGACUCCACGUCAAUAACAACUACAGCAUCCGGUCCAUGCCAGGCAGGCAUUUUGAAACGCAAGUAGCGCUCUACACAUUCAACAGGAAGGAGGGAUCGGAAAGUAAAGAAGAAGGCCUUUCAAAACACAUUCUGUAUGCAUGUAUGGGCAAAAUCCUGUUCUUAUACAUGAUAAGGUCUGGUGGUCAGUAAUGCUUGUUUGAAGUCAGAUGUGAAUUGCAAUCUGGAUUCCUUCUAUAUGUUUCCCAUUUUUAACCCAUGAUGCGUUUUACUCAUACAAUUUUAUUUUUCUUUCCCUGUUCAAUUGUUAAUUGCAUGUACAGUUUUGGCAACAUCAUGGCCCAAAUGACUCUACAUAGUUGGAGCUUUGAAGACAUUAUCUUGUAUUAUCAUUGCUUAUCAUCCAUUCAAAUGCAGUUUUUUCUAUUAUCUUUAUUUAUUUAUUUUGUUUCUGAGCAAUAAAAGGUAGAAGUGAAGCAAAUUUUAAGUUGUUUGCCUACUUGGUUGAAUGCUAAGCUCAUGGUGAAUUGGUUAGCUAUAAUGAAAGUAUGAACUAACUUUUAGUGAAGUAAAAUAUUUUAAUGUAGUUAAAAGUUCAACUGGCUUGGAACCAAUGAUCAUACAUUAAAUUAUCUACCAUAAGCUAUGGAUGUACCUUUGGACAUUGAAAAAACAAUUUUGCUUUCUCUAAGCUAAUUUGCAAAGUGAAAGCAGGUCUGACUCUUGAGUAUAAAAUUUCUUGUCUUCGUUCACAUUAUGAAAACUAUGUUGAGUUCAUACCUUCAAUUACAUAUAUAUCUAAAGCUUUAACCUUUGAAAAGUAACUUUCAUACUUUCUUGAAUAAAAUUUCCAAGACAAUGCUUUUUUUUUGUUCUGGUGGUGUUUUGUUCCUCUGUAAUUUCCUAUGAAAUUGCUACUGAACAAAUAAUUUAAGAAUUCGGCUUGUAUUUUCUAUGUUUUAUGUUGAUAGCUAGCUUCUAGUAAAUUUUUAUAUAUUUGAAGAAUUCCGUUCAAUUAUCAUCAUGCUUUUGAGAAAAUUCCAAAUCAAGAAAUAGCCGGAAUGAAUUUAUCCAAUUAUCAGGAGAAAUUUUUUUGAAUGGAAUAAAAUCAUAAAUGAAUGAAAAAUAUGAGAAGCAUCUGUUUCCCUGUAGAAUUUCCUACUAAAAGAAGCUGUCUCAAAGAAACAUACUAUACGGCUUCCUGCUACAAUGAUCGAAGUUGACUUUGACUUUCUCUAAUCUGAUGAAACAAUUGCUGAAUUAAGCACAGAAACAAUUCCUUUGCAGUCACUUACUUUCAUCUUCUUCAGAUCCCUCUGUUGCAAAAAACCAAAGAGACAUGGCCGAGGCCUUAGUUGGUGGAGCCUUUCUCUCUGCUUCAAACCGAGUUCUGUUUGACAGGAUGGCUUCUCUUGACAUCUUGGAUGCAGGCAGAGGAUGUUGACAAGAUUGGCUUGCUGAGCUUAAACAUGCUGUGUAUGAUGCGGAGGACCUCUUGGAUGAGAUUGCUACUGAAGCUCUUCAAGCAGGUAGGAAUCCCAGGAUCAAACAACUGUAACGCAGGCAUGUAGUUUUUCCACAUAUAUUCUGCUGGAAAAUUGACAGCUUUGUGAUCACAUGAACUAGACUUGGACAGUUCAUUGUUCCUUUUGUUUAUAAGUUUUCACUGUGGUGCACAUUUUAAACUACUGUAUUAUGACUUGGUAAUUUCCAUUAUUUUCCCUCAUCAAUGGUGGCUCGGAAUUGCUUAAUUACUUAAUUUUAAUACUGUUUCUAUGAUCCUUUUCGAGUUUUUCUAGUUAUUAAGAUGUAUUAUCAGAGUCUGAAGAUCUCAGUAACUCAAAACUUGUUGAAAGCUGGCAAAGGACCUACAACAAAUCAAAGCAGGUAAGUUGCACCAAUAACUUAUUAUUGUUAUUAUUACUAUGAAAAUGUUGAAGGUUCUUUUUUAGGAAGUUUCAGACUAGUUUGAAGCUGAACAUGCAACUAAUGAUCAUAUGUGACAUGAUUGCUUUACUAAUGUCAGGCACAAAUACUUCAGGUGAACAUUGAUGCUUUUCUCGUUAGUGCUGGAUGUUAUAUUUCCUAAUACAGGAGGUGACCUGUGCUUAUUGGAGGAAAAAAUAUAAAAAGGACCUGCAACUAGUGAUCUUCAAUUCUUGUGCUUUAUGUUUCAAGCUGCCAGUUGCUAUUUGAGGAAUUCUUCACCACUUGCUUCUUGUUACUUCUAAGAAAUUUGUUCCAAAUUAUAGUUAAUUAUUGCCAGUCAGUUAAGUUCCUCCUGCAUCCAAUCUACUUUGUUCUGCAGCUGACAAAGAAGAAGCUUUGAUGAUUUUUCUAGAUUUAUGCACCAUGAGAAUUUCAAAUGGUCUACUACCAGCUACAGAUACAAGUUGAGUCUCUUUGCAGCUAGUUCUUUUAUCUGCUUCAUUUCAAAGUUUGGAUUGGCAAAACAACAUAGAGGAUCAUCUUACAUUGUUCAUAGACUUUCUUUACUUGGAUUUCUCAACUGUAAUAGGCCAAUAACAAUCAGAACCUUCAGUUCAUUCCACACAGGCCUUUUCGAACGCAAAGGACAGCACCAACACUUUCAACAGAAGAGAGGGAGGGAAGAAGGCCCUUUCAAAUAUAUCCUGUAUGCAGAACUGAAAUUGAAAUGCUUAUGUGAAGCAUAUACGGGGAAAAUCCUGUUCUUGAUUUUGUUGGAAGUUUUUUCAUGUUCUUAAGGCAUCCAUCCAGUAGUUUAUUAGUCUCAGUAUCAACUGAUAUAGGCCAACAAACUCAUAAAAACAUUUUGUUGGUAAUGCGGUCAGUAAGGUUGCAACUUUUUUUUUUAAUCCAGUUAUCGACUGAAUUUUCAUAGUAAUUCAGUUGGCUUUUUGACCACAUUACCGACGAGUUAUUCCAUCGGCACGUUGGUCGAUAAAUUCCAUCGAUGAAAUUUUUCGAUCAGUAAGCUUCAUGCCAUCGGCUAAAAUUUCGUGCCAUCAUUUUACCAAUGGAAUAUCGACGGAAUGUGUUCCGUCGGGAUUCUGUCAAUAUUUAUGGUAGUUGAAUUUCAUCAAUAUUUUGUCAAUAAUUCAUCAAUAAUUUUCAUCGAAUUUUACCUACAUAAUAAAUUCCAUUGAUAAUUGUCAGUUUUUUUUGUAGUGAUACUUUUCUUUCUAGCAUGGAUAUCACAGGUAUAUUUUUUAUCAACUAGUUUUAAGUAUUAUUUAUCAUUUUCCCCUUUUUUCUAAAAAAAAAGAAAAUAAUCCAUCACCUUAUGUCUAUCAUACACAUUUUACUAAGUUACAUACUUACUUUAUUUUUAUAUUGUAUUUUUUCAUGAAUCUAAUUUUGCAUGAUGUCUUAUGUAACAAACUACUUUAUUCUAUUUUUUUGCAAAAUAAAUAUGUAUUAAUAUCACCAACAAAAAGAAUAUUAAUUAAUAUCACCAACUAAAGAAAUAAAAAACAUACAAAUAAUAAACCACAUAAAAAUCCAUCCAAAAAUAAACAUCAGAGCCCAAGGACUCCUUUCCCUUCUUCUACGCGGGCUGGGGCUGGCCUACCUUAACAGCUUGCUAUUAACCUAGCAAAGCACACUGUUCGGUGUGCAAGGGGCUUCCUAUAAAUGGCAUCGCUUGAACGCCCCUAACAACACCCACCUAAUGCCCAAUUGGUACCAUUUGGCAGCUUUUACCAUUCCUAACCCUAACUAUUUGAACGUGAUUUUCUCUCUCAUGUUUCAUUUUCUCCAAACAAGCGACCAACAAAACUUUUUGCUCUCAAAACACGUUACUCCCCCGACGCUUCUCUUGCCACCGCUACCACAGAGGCCUUAAAAUAGUCUCACUUUCCUUUACCCUAGCCUCAAGUCCCCACAAACCAUAAAAUCCUAAAACCUCUCGACAGAGCCUGCUCGGCUCUUGCUUCAUUUCUUCAUUUUUUGUUUUUGUUUUUUUUUGGAGUUUCUUUCAAGAUAGUUUUUCGCAUUUGUGUGUGGUAUGUGAUGUUAGAGAAACUAGGGUUUUUUGCUAUUGUUACUUCACUAGUGCUUUUCUAAUUAUUGAUCUCUAGGUUCUUUUUUCUGUAAAAUUUGCUCCCUUUUGUGAAUGGAAGAGAGGGUACCUUAUAGCUGCCUUCAUGGGGGAUCGAAGGUUGGCCAAUUGUGAUUCUGCGAUGAGAUUCUUGUGCUUGGCAGGGUGCGUUCACACGCUUGCCAAAUGUACAUUGGGCAUGGCUUGUCGCCAUGUCCUACUGGCUAAUUUUUUUCCUCUUUCUUUUUUUUCUUUUUUUCAUUGUUUUAUUCAUUUUCUCAUUUUUUAUUUUUUAAGAGAAAUAAUAAUAAAUUGAAAUUAAAUAAUAACAGAAAUAAAAGUAAAUGAAACAAUAAAAAAAAAGUAAAAAGAAAACUGGUGUCUAUAGCUAACAAAGUACAUUAGUGCUUUGAUUGCACUAAGUACGGUGCUUUAGUAUCAAGAGGUUCUUUAUCAUCGUGUUUUGUGUAUAUAGAAUUAUUUUAAUACUUUUGUUAAAUAAUUUGAUUGUUGAAUAAAAAUUACUUUUGUAAAUGCUCAAUUUGAAGACUCAAAUAACAUUUUGUCUCUUUCAUCUUAAAUUUUUUUUUAAAGUAAUUCAUGACUUUUGAUAGCUUUUCAAAAAUUUUAAUAAUUUUUAGGUCAUCAACAUAAAUAGUAAUUAUAAAAAAUAUAAUAUCUAAAUCUUUUUAUAAAAACACAUGGGUAUAUCGGAUCAUUUUUAUAACUCUUUUUCAACAAAUAUUACCAAGAGGAUUAUAACACAUGCAUUCGGAUUGUUUUAAUUCAUAUUAAAAUUAUUUAAUUUGAUCAAAUAAAUUUUUCAAGAAUUCAAAUUGUAUACUUUAGUAUUUUAGGUAACUUAACUCCUUUAGGGAUUUUCAUAUAAAUAUCUUUAUCAAAUGAGUUUCAUAUAAAUAUCUUUAUCAAGUGAGUCAUAUAAAUAGAUUAUAACUAUAUCCAUCAUACACAUUUCAAGCUUCUCCAAUAUUACCAGACUAAUUAAAUAUCGGAAUAUAAUUACAUCCACCAUAAGAGAAUAUAUAUCUUCAUAAUCAAUACCAAGUCAUUGGGUAAAAUCUUAAGCGACAAGUUGUACUUUAUAUUUAAUAAUCUCAUUUUAUUUUCGUACAAAUACCCAUUUAUAUCUCGUUGUCUUUUACAUCAUUUGGUGUAUGGACUGCAAGUCCAAAAACUUCACAUUUUGCAUAUCCAAAAAUUUCAAUAUUUUCAUUCUCUAACAAAUGUAGUUUUAAGAUCUUCAUUUUCUUCCAUAAUAUCGAGCGCUACAUUAAAGGUUAAAUUAUUGUCGAUGUCUAUUUCAUUCUGAUUUUAUCUUUUUCCCAUCAUAAUAUAAUUUAUUUAAAUCUUUUCAUUUUAACUAAUUUCAUAUACUUGAAUUUUUUCUGAAAUUUUAUCAAUUGUAUCAAGAGUCCUUUCUUUGACCAUCUUGAACAUUUUACUAUAGCACUUUUAUGUAUGCAAAACAACAAUUUAAAGUGCUCAUGGAUUUUAAUAAUCAUUUCAUACCAGAAAAACAAAUGUUAAUAUUGCUUUUGUUGCCAAAGGAUUAAGAAGUGGUUUCUAAAGGGAGAGUGGCAAGAUUUCACCCAAUUCUUUACAUAUUUUGCUGGAAAUGUCACGAGCACGAGUUCAGUAGGCAGAGCUCACAAAACCCAAGCAAGCCUCUUAAAUUCGAAUCAAAAUCAUCUACCAUAGGUAAGGGAUCUCGUAGAAAAUAUUUUCACAACAUAGUUAAUUUCAAAUACAGAUAAUUGCCCUUGGCAUCAUGUUCAUACACAAUAUUUAAUACAAAGGUCGUACAUUGGCCAUCAAGGCAAGUUCAUACUUUACAACCCUUAACACGAAUUUAAACGGCACAUCAUGCCUACAUACGUUACAAGCUAAACUGGAUGUGGAAACUCAUGACAAACUCAGUAGAAUUACAAAACAGAAUGGGACCCUACAAGAUGCCAAAAUUGGUUCGUCAAUGGAUGACCCUUGCCACGCAGUCUUGUGACUUAUUUAUCUACACAUGGUACAAUAAAUAGGUAAGUCAUUUAAUACUCAGUGAGAGGUGUAGAUAAAUUAAACAUAUAUAUAAUUGACAAUAUACGCAUAUAUAUAUUUACUACACCAUUAAUGCAAGCAAAUAUUCUAACAAACAUCUCCAAGGUCAAGGGCAUAUCAAUCAUCCCUUCGAAGUCUCCACAAGAAAUGUAUAUCACUAUGCUUAUCCUCAAAACCAUUCAAGUUAUUUUCCAUAGGCAUAACUUAGUCACCGAAGUAUCAUAUCAAUUUCAAUUCUAAAUUUAUUUUAGCUUACCCGAGGCUGUAUCACAUCACUCAUGAUUUGGAUCAUAAUCUUUUGAGUGGUCCUUCCUUAGACAUCAUCAAAUCAUGCAUGGUGGCAUCAGAUUCAUCAUCUAGAUUAAUCUCAAACGAAUGGCAUCAUAGUCAUAAACAUCACCGGGAGUAGUCUCAAACAAGUGGUAUCACAUUCAUCAUCUAGAUUAAUCUCUCAACAGAUGGCAAUCAUCACCUGGAGUAGUCUCGAACGAGUGGUAUCACAUUCAUCAUCUAGAGUAAUCUCUCAACAGAUGGCAAUCAUCCCCUGAAGUAAUCUCAAAUGGGUGGCAUUACAGUACUAUAGGCGAGAAUUACAAGCAAGACUAAUACCGCCAUCCUUGCUUGCCACCAUCCCUACAAGCAUACACGUAGUCAGAGGGUGUAAGACUCCACUCAACCUCAAAUCAUAUCAACGCCCAAAAUUCUCAUCAUCGGACGGAAUACAAAUCCUCAAAUAAGGCCAUUAUACCUUAGGUAUCACAUAUACCACAAUUCGUAUCUAAAAUCGCGCUUAAUGAGCUUCAGGUAUAUUCUAGCUCCAUAUCAUGUCUAAUGCCCUUAACUCUCUAAGGCAUCCAAUGUUUGCAAUCCAUCAAGGGAUUAAUCGUCUAAAGUAAUAUACUCCUAGACAUCCACUAUAUUUACUAGACCUCCUAGUCUAGGCUCAACAAACAUAGGCCACUAUGUGGCUUGCAUUAAGACAUACAUACACAUCGCACCAACGUGCACGCACACACACACACAAAAACAUAUAUAUAUAUAUAUACACACACACACACAUCUUACUCUAGCCUAGGCAUGUUCAUCUACACAUUUAUAUGCAUACAAGUUUUAUUCUAAUACUAUGGCAACGCAUUUAACAAUGCGACAUGCAUCACACGCAUUUCAAAUAAAACCUACUCAUAGUGACAGUCGAAGAUGCACCUACAACCAAGCUCUAAUUCUUAGCCUCCAACCUCUUUCAACUCACCAAAGGGUUAAAUAGCUCCAAAUUCCCCUUAAAAGCUGGAUUGCCCAAAUCUAAGCUCUAAAUCUCCAGUCGAAGUCAAAGGGGGAAAAUCACCAAAUUUGAAAAAAUUGGAUUUCGAAAUUAUUAACCUAUUAAAUUGAAAAUAAAUCGGUAAAAACAUUUAAUCUUACCUCCAAAGUGGUUUUGCAAACUUUAAUCUACCCCAAAUAGCUCCCAAAUUUCGUUUGGGAGGUUAAGGUUUUGGGGGUUUGAGAGAGAGAAAGAGUUUUUCUUUUUGUUUUUAAGCUAAAUGAUAGCUGUAACCCUUUUUAUUUUUACAUUUUCGGGAUGAUCUAUCUAUAGAUGAGAGGCAUCUAUAGUUAGAUCUCUCUAAAAAUUUUGGAUGUUGACUUUCAUCUAUUGAUAGAUUCCUCGAAUCUAUCGAUAGUUUUGAGUGUGCACUAUUGAUCUUUUUCUCUCGUGUUGCUAUUUAUCGAUAGAUAGAUUCCCUCGAUCUAGCAAUAGAUAGAACACAAAACACUUUCCCUUGUUCACUGCCUUACAUCUAUUGAUAGAUCAUGAACAUCUAUCAAUAGAUAUGCAUGUGUUCUUUCAAAUUGCUCAUAUCUAUAGAUAGAUCAAGAACAUCUAUCAAUAGAUCAUGCCCAGAUUUUGGAUUUUCACUUCUUUAAGCCUCUAAAUUCAUUUCUAAGGCCUCCAAUUCACUUUCCUUCAAUCAAAAACACUCCAGUUCAUCAAUAUUACUUGAAAUCCUUCAUACAUGUACUCAAAUAUAUGAUUAAAUCUUGAUUAAGUCAUCAAACUCUAAGAUCCAUCAAAAAUGUUUAUAAAAUUUUUUCCUAAGUAUCUAUUGGCAUACUUCCACAUGCACAGCAUAUUUAAUCUAUCAUUAACAGUCCUCAAAUGUAUUAUAACUUCAACUUUAUCCACCAUAAUUAUGUCAAAAAAUCGGAGUGUCACAGGAAAAUUGACAGCCUUGCAAUCAUUUGAACUUGACUUGGGCAGAUCAUUGUUCCUUUCGAAUUUAAUUUUUCAACUAAGGUGCACAUUUUGCACUUCCAUGUUUAUAUCACUUGGCAAUUUUAAUCAUUUCCAUAUCAAUGCUAACUCCAAAUUGCUUAGUUCGUUUUACUACUGUUUCUUUUAUCCUUUCAGAUUUUUUUAAGUUAUUGUGACGUAUUAUUGGAUUUGAAGAUCUCGAUAACUCACAGAACUUAAUCAAGGCAAGUUAACUCUGCUUUCUUUGUGUUUGUUGUAUAAAUUAAUCAUAGUUUUUGAUGAAUCAUAUAGGCUCUUAGCUAGUCAAAAUCUGUGUCUCAUUACUUGUUGUUUAGUUUUUUCUAUUUAAAUUCUUAGUUUCCAAUUAUUAAGUGUUCCACCAUAUUCUCAAUAGAUACAUGUCCAGUGUAUUCUUUACUUGGGUAUUUCAACUAAAGGACCUAGAACAAAUCAAAUGCAGGUAACUCAUAAUACCACCAACUUAUUUCUUUAAAAUUUUGAAGGUCUUUUUCUGGAGAUUUCCAUCAAUAGUUUGAUGUGGUACUACAAACGUGUUAUGCUAACUAGGUUAAGACAUUAGUGUUUCGUUGCAAUUACAACAAAUACCUUUUUUUUUUUUUGAGAAAGAUGGGGUAUAGACCCUGUAAGUAAUUUGUACUAAUCACUGAAUUAAAUGUUUGGGUGUAACUUGUACAAAUACUUUCAUAAUUGCUUUCUCUGAUAUUAAGCACAAUUAUUGUUGAAAGUUAUGUUUCCGCAGUACAGGAGGUGACUUGUGCUUUUGGGAUUACAAAGUAGACCUGCUUCUAGUGAUCAUCUUCAAUUAUUGUUCACUGUCUUCCAGACUUCCCGGUUGAUAUAUGAAGCAUGCCUCAUUACUUGCUCCCUUUUACAUUUUAAAAUUUGUUGCUAAUUUUUUAAUUGAUUUUUCUUGUUUAGUCGAGUUCAUAGUGGAACCAAAUUUAAUUUGUUCAGAGCUAAGACAGAAGCUAUGGUUUUUUCAAGAUUUAUGCACCAUGAAAUUUUCAAGUGGUCUUGUACCGAGCUAUAGAUGGAAUUUUCGUGGAGAUCAUAUUGGUGAAUGAUAAGGACAUGGAUUCCUUGCUUAUUUGAGUGUAAGAGGUAAAAUAACAGCCAUGAACUUCAGUCCAUGCCAGCCAACCAGCCAGGCCUUUUCAACCCAAGGGAGGGAGAGGCCUUUAAACACAUCCAAUUUGCAGAAUUCAAAAUGGAAUGGUUGUCUGUUGCAAAUAUGGACACAUCCUGUUCUUGUACAUGACAAUGUCGGGUCAGCAGGUUUGUGUUCGUGUGUGAGUUACGAUUCGUUGAUUCUUUGUAUUUUUCAUGCUCUUAAAGAAUGUGUAGUUUGCUUCAUACAAUAUUCAUUUCUCUAUUCCAAUUUUAUUCGUUGAUUGUUGUAAACUUUGGUUAAAUUGUGUCCCAAAUUACGUGACAUGGUGGGAGCUUUUGAUAGCAAUCUCAUAUAAUCAUUUAGUCAUCAACAUGUACUUUUUUAUUUUAUUUUAUUUGAGUGCUAAAACCAAUCAAGCAAAUUUUAUUUUUUCUUUUUAAUCAUUUUUAUAAAAAAAUUAAAAAUUAACGAAAAAUCCUUUUAAUUUUUGUUUCACAUCCUAUGGCAGUUGCCCCCACCAGGUUUGGACUUGACCGCAGCCCCAGGCUUGCGGUAGGAGCUAAAAAUGCGGUGGGUGCAUUAUCUAUUCUUUUGAGCUUGUCUACUCUGUUCUCUCAGGCUCACUAAAUCAUUAUUUUAACUCUCGCUUUAGGCAAAUAUAAAAGGUAUAAAUCUAAUCAUACUAUUCUUGGUCAAAUGCAUCAAUAAAAGAAAUAAUUAACCAUAGUAAUAUCAUAAUUGUUUUUUCCGCUGUAGAUAAAAAAUUGUUAAUAAUUAAGAAAUUAAAAAUUAAUGCACAUAGCUUCCACCCUGUCGAUGGAAACAAUGUUGUAAAUGAAUUAAUUUUAAUUGUCGAUGAAAACAAUUAAAAAUUAAUUGCACUGUAAUUCAUCAAUUGUAUAUAUUUUAAUUUAUUCAAAUUUAGUAAUAAUAACUAAAAUCAAUGUAAGGUAGUUGAAAAUACCCUUGAUCAUUUGCAUUAAGGCUUCACUUAUAGCACACUUGGUCUUUCGUCUGAGUUUGCGAACUCUUCUUUCCAUUGUUUCCAAUCACUUUCUUCGAUCUUCUUCAAAUCGUUCCUACCAAAAAAACCAUGGCCGGGGCUUUGGUGGGUGAAGCUUUUCUCUCUGCUUCCAUCGAGGUGCUGAUUGAUAGGAUUGCUUCUCGGGAUGUUUUGAACCUUAUCAAGGGAAAGAGGCUUAAAGAUGGGCUGCUGAAGAAGCUGAAACCAGCCCUGAUGUCAGUUAAAGCAGUGCUUGAUGAUGCUGAAAAUAAGCAGAUUAGGAACCCAAAUGUGAGAAGCUGGAUUGACGAGCUCAAAGAUGCUGUUUAUGAUGCGGAGGACCUCCUGGAUGAGAUCGCUACCGAAGCUCUUCGAAGCAGGUUGGAAUCCGAGGAUCAAACUAGUACUGCAAAGCAGGUAUGUAGCUUUAUCUCUUCUCUCAAUCCUUUCAAUAGGGGGAUGGGAUCUAAGCUAGAAGAAAUCCUUGAGAGACUAGAAUAUCUAGUCAACCAAAAAGGCAUCCUGGGUUUGAAAGAAAGUGGAGGAGAAAAGCCAUUUCAAAGACCACCUGCAACUUCUCUGGUGGAUGAAUCCGGAGUUUAUGGUAGACAUGAUGAAAAAGAAGCGAUCAUGGAGUUGCUGAACCCAGAAUAUGCAACUGCAAAUCAGAUCGAUGUGAUUCCAAUAGUGGGUAUGGGCGGGGUUGGUAAAACCACCCUUGCACAAUUCAUCUACAAUGACAAGAGAGUGGAGGAAUGGUUUGAUGUCAAAGCAUGGGUGUGUGUUUCAGAGGAAUUUGAUGCCUUAAGGGUAACCAAAACCAUUCUUGAAGAAAUCACUUCCAGCAGUGAUGGUAGUCAGAACCUAAAUCAGCUUCAGCUUAAACUAAAGGAGAAGCUGUUGGGAAAAAAGUUUCUAUUUGUUUUGGACGAUGUUUGGAACGAGAAAUACGUUGAUUGGGAAGAGUUGAGAAGUCCUUUCAAUUCUGGGGCGAAAAACAGCAAGAUUGUUGUAACAACACGUAAUCAAGAGGUUGCACGCAUUAUGGGGACUGUUCCAACUUAUCAUCUUAAUGUCUUAUCUGAUGAGGAUUGUUGGUUGUUAUUUGCAAAACAUGCAUUUGUUAAUACAAGCCCAAGCAUGCCUCCUAAUUUGAAGGAAAUCGGUGAAGCAAUUGUCAAAAGAUGCAAAGGCCUCCCUUUAGCAGCAAAAACACUCGGAGGUCUGCUUCGUUGUAGAACAGAUGUUGAGGAUUGGAAUAAAGUAUUGUUGUGGAAAUUGUCCAAGAAUCAACAAAAAUAAAAUCCAGAGAAAAUAAGUAAAUAGAAAAACACAAGAAUUUACAUGGUUCGACCUUUUGCCUACGUCCACGGAGUGAAACUGUUCUUCUAUUAUUUAGAAUUUAAAGUACAAUAAAUUGGCCUUUAUGGUUCCCCAAAACAAACCAAGAUCCCUUGCACACUCUUCCUCAAUAACCUCCCAAGAACACUCACUCAAACCACUUUAGCUCCACUUAGAGCAAAAGACAAAGUUACAAGGUGUUCAUCUCUAGAGCUCUCAAAGCACUACUUGCAAUUCUAAAGCUUAGAAUCCACUUUUAUAGUAUAAAAAUCCAAAGUAAAAUGUGAUUAGGACUCGAUGUGGAAUAAGAAGUUUAAAACUAUACAACUAUUUAAUAUUGUAUACAAACAAAAAAUCAUAAUCAAAUAAGAUCUAGAAUUCUAGUCAACUUAAAACUCAACAAAUCUCCACCUUUGACUUGAAUUCAAACUCCUUAAACCUAUUCCACUAGUCGCACCUAAUUGCAACUUCCUAACUCCACUUACUUUCCAACACCUUGGACAACUCUCCAAGCAUAAGACUUUCCAAAUCAUUGGCCUUUAUAAUUACCACGACUACACAUACAGAAUCAAACAUGGUCCAACACUUGAUUCCACAAAACGGCCAAUGCACCUGUGUAGUCGUCAAGUCAAUGGCACUAAUUGACUUCGGAAAGGGACCUCGACAACCCUUCCACUUCACUAUUGGCAAGAUUUUUCGUCCUUUCACGAUCGUCUACACCAUGGGAACCUUUCAUCACCUCCUCGGCAAAUGAAUCUCACUUUGGUAGCUACCAUCCCUUGUGCACUGUUCCCAUCCUUUCGAGGUCUCACAUUCUAGACGAUACAAGCCAUUAUGCAAAUUCCCCUUCAUCAGGACCAUGUCGCCUUGUGUGACUUUUACUACUCAUCACAAGCAGAAUAUUCAAACCCUUUGGAGUCUAACAGGCUCAAUGAUAUUAGAUUCUUACGCAUCUUUGGGACAUAAGCCACACCACCCAAAGAGCGCACAAUCCCAUCAAACAUUUUGAUUUUCACAACUCCAAGACCCAUGACCUUCACUAUUGACUUAUUACCCAAAGUCAAAUUUCCAGCCACUCCUUCUUGAAGUAAAUCAAAACAAUCCUUUUGAUAACAUAUGUGAGUAGCAGAAGCAGAAUCUAAAUACCAAUCAGAAUUUGCAUCCAUAUUUUCUGAAAUUGUAAGGACAUCACAAUCAUCACCUUCAGCAACGAAAGCACACUCACCUUUGUUCUCGUUACUUUCAUCCCCUUUUGUAGGACAAUCCCUUUUAAUAUGCCCAUACCCUUUGCAUUUAAAGCAUUGAACAUUGUUGGAUCUAGACUUGCCACCCUUAGAUCCCUUACCAGUUGACUUCCUCCUAUUAGCCUCAAUUACUAAUGCCAAGCCAUUUGGAUCUCUAUCCCCUUCUUUACUUUUCUUUCAGGCUUCACGAGACAUUAACGUUGCUUGUGCUUGUUCUAACGUUAUUGUAUCCAUCCCACAUAUAAGAGAUUCCAAAAAUACCUCAUAGGAGUCUGGAAGCGAAGCUAGGAACAAUAGUGCAUUUUCCUCUUCCUCCACCUUGACAUCAACCUUCUUCAACUGAUCAAUGAUUCCAUCGAAUUCAUUCAUAUGCUUCAUGAGGUCUCCAUUCUCCUCCAUCUUUAAGCGAUACAACUUUCGCCUAAGCUGCAACUUGUUAGAAAAACUUUUCGCCAAGUAAAUUUUCUCUAACUUUGCCCAUAAUCUUAGAACAGAAUCCUCAUCAAUAACAUGAUUAAACACAUUAUCUUCAAUGCAAAGUCGAAUAGUGCUCACACACCUUUGCUCUAACUCUGCCCAUUCAACAUCCUUCAUGUCAUCUGGUUGCCCUUCCUCCUUUCCUAGCAAGGGGCGAAUUAAACCUUGCUGCACAAGGAGAUCUUUCAUCAUUCUCUGCCACUGCGUGAAACUAGUCUUCCCAUCAAACUUCUCAAUUGAAAAAUUCAUAGAACUAGUGACUUUCGACAUCCUUGUUGAAUCUUGAAUUUCCCGAACCCGAAGCUCUGAUACCAGUUUGUUGUGGAAAUUGCUCAAGAAUCAACAAAGCUAAAUCCAGAGAAAAUAAGCAAAAAGAAAAACACAAGAAUUUACGUGGUUCGGCCUCUUGCCUACGUCCACGGAGUGAAACUGUUCUUCUAUUAUUGAGAAUUUAAAGUACAAAAAAUUGACCUUUAUGGUUCCCCAAAACAAAUCAAGAUCCCUUGCACACUCUUUCUCAAUAACCUCCUAAGAACAUUCACCCAAACCACUCUAGCUCCACCUAGAGCAAAAGAUAGAGUUACAAGAUGUUCUCUCUCUAGAGCUCUCAAAGCACUACUUGCAAUUCUAAAGCUUAGAAUCCACUUUUAUAGUAUAAAAAGUCCAAAGUAGAAUGUGAUUAGGAUUCGAUGUGGAAUAAGAAGUUUAAAACUCCAUACAACUACUUAAUAUUGUAUACAAACAAAAAUUCCUAAUCAAAUAAGAUCUAGAAUUCUAGUCAACCUAAAACUCAACAAGUAUUGAACAGCAGUUUGUGGGACAUAACAGAUGAUAUUCUUCCAGCACUCAGAUUAAGUUAUUAUUAUCUUCCUUCCCAUUUAAAGCGUUGCUUUGCAUAUUGUUCACUUUUUCCUAAAGAUUAUGAAUUCAGAAAGGAAGAACUCAUUCGGUUAUGGAUGGCUGAAGAUCUUUUAGCAUAUUCCAGAGAAGUUGUAAAUAUGGAGGAUCGGGGUAAUGAGUAUUUCAAAGAUUUAACAUCUAGGUCAUUUUUUCAACAAUUAAGUGGGAAUAAGUCUUGCUUUGUCAUGCAUGACUUAAUUAGUGACUUAGCAAAAUCUGUAUCCGGAGAAUUCAUUUGUAGAUUGGACGGUGGUGAUAGAUUUUCAUGUAAAAUAACUAAAAGGACCCGUCAUUUCUCUAAUGUCCAAGAAGAAUACGAUAUACUUAAAAGAUUUGAGGCUUUAGCUAAAGCAAAAGGUUUGCAUACAUUCUUAACUUUAGAGUCAUGGGCAUGGGGUUGUUAUGUUACCAAUGCGAUAAUGGAUGAUUUGAUUAUAAAAUUUAGAUCCUUACGAGUGCUUUCUUUGGCUCAUUAUCAUAAUAUCGAUGAGUUAUCAGAAGAAAUUAGAAAAUUAAAACAGCUACGUUAUUUGGAUCUAUCUGAAACUUCAAUUGAAAGGUUGCCUAACUCUUUGACUACAUUGUAUAAUUUGCAAAUAUUACUCUUAUUUGAGUGCGAAAAGCUUGUUGAGUUGCCUGAAGAUGUGGGAAGGUUGAUCAACAUGCAUCAUCUUGAUAUCAGGGGUACCAAGUUAGUAAGGAUGCCACCAAGAAUGGAUAAAUUGAAAGAUCUUCAAAUAUUAACAGAUUUUGUUUUGGGUGAGCAAAAAGGUUCAAGCAAAAGUGAGUUGGGAAAGCUCAAGAAUCUACGUGGAAGACUUGCCAUUUCAAAUUUACAAAAUGUUGUUUGCCAUAGGGAUGCCAAAGAUGCCAAUUCGAAAGAGAAGAUCAACCUUAGGGAGUUGGAGUUGAAAUGGAGUGAGGAUUGUCAUACUAAUGAUGAUUCAAAGCAUGAUAGAGAAAUACUUGAACAACUGGAGCCUCACACAAACUUGGAGCAUCUUGCUAUUGAGUUUUAUAGAGGUACAAGAUUCCCGGAAUGGGUAGGGCAUUCUUCCUUCUCGAAUCUAGUAUCUUUGCACUUGAGGGGUUGUAAAUUUUGCUUGUUCUUGCCUCCGCUUGGGCGAUUAUCAUCUUUGAAGUCUCUCUCCAUAAGUGGGUUUUCUGAAGUAGUAACAGUGGGUGAUGAAUUCUAUGGGCAGGGUGAUGCUUCGAGGAAACCAUUUGGAUCUCUUGAAAUUCUAAGUUUCGCAGAUAUGUCAGAGUGGGAAGAAUGGUUUUGCUUGAAUGACGGAGCUUUCCCUCUUCUCCAAGAGUUAUACAUAGAAGAUUGUCCCAAGUUAACCAAGUCUUUGCCCAAACACCUCCCUUCUUUAAUGAAACUAAAGGUUGUGAGAUGUGGGAAGCUUGGAGGCUUGCUUCCAAGGGCACCAAGCAUGUCCGAACUUGACUUACAGGAAUGCGAUGCAUUGCAAUGGGAGCCAUUUCCUUGUGGGCUUCGAAAUUUGAAGAUAUCUCAGUUGAAUAUAAACGAUUCGAAUAUCAAUGAUUCCAUAUUGGAACAGAUGGUGAGACACUGCACUCAUCUUGAAAAGUUGGAAAUGUGGUAUUGUUAUGGCCUCAAAUCUCUUCCUGAAGGUAGUCUACCUACUACGCUAAAGGAAUUGCGGAUCAAUCAUUGUAAUGCGUUGGAUUAUUCCAAAAUCCUCUUGUAUACAUCCCUUGAACGCUUAGACGUAAGAGACCACAGCGAUCAUCCACUGGAAUCUUUCUCAAUAGGAUCAUUACCUAAGCUAAAUAGUCUUCAAAUCUUCUCAUGCGAAGGCUUGAAGUGGAUUCGAAUAGGUUCAUUACCUAAGCUAAAUAAUCUUUGUAUCAAGUCAGAUAAAGACUUGAAGUCAAUUCUUGCUUUAGAGGGCCCUCACCAGCAUCUCCCAUGUCUCAAUGAUUUGUCAAUCCAUUGGUGCCCUAAUUUUAUAUCUUUUCCCGAAGAGGGUUUUUCUGCCACCAAUUUAACAUCACUUUAUCUUUUCGAUUGCAAAAAUUUGAAGUCAUUGCCUGAGCAAAUGCAAUCCCUCUUUCCAUCCCUUGUGUUAUUGUCAAUAUUCAAGUGUCCAGAAAUUGAGUCAUUUCCAAAAGAGGGUUUACCCUCCAAAUUAAAAAAUAUUACAAUUGGAAGAAGUGAAAAGCUAAUUGCGGGCAGGAAGGAUUGGGGUUUGGAAACACUCCCUUCACUUACAACCUUCCGAAUCCUUGAGGCAGAAGAGAUAGAGUCUUUUCCAGAUGAACAUCUGCUGCCCUCUACUCUUACCCAUCUUUUCAUAUGCAAUCUUCGAAAUCUUAAGUUUUUGGACUACAAGGGCUUUCAACAUCUCACCUCUCUUCGCGAAUUGCGUAUCUCAAAAUGUCCAGAGCUCCAAUCCAUGCCGGUAAAGAGGCUCCCCAUUCCUAUCAUUUGGAUUGACGAUGAACUCAUUAUGAAAGAGGCCCUUUUGGCAUAAUUAAUGCAAUCUCACUCAGGUACUCCAUCCAGUCAAUAUCAUUUAAUUUCAAUAGCCCUUGUCCAUUCUUUAUAUACGUUACUUGUUUAUUUAUUGACUUUUCUUUUAAAAAAUUAUUAAAUUAAUUCAGAUUUGUAUACAGUGUCUUCAUUUUUCUUUUUCUUUUUUUCUUUUUCUUUUUUGUGUUCAUUAGUGGUAUUCGCAAGGUUUUCCUUGUCUUUGAUGUUUGUCAUAGUUUAGUCAUGAACUGUGUUGUUUAUUAUUCAUCUUGUGUUUAAUUUAUUUGCCAUAGUUUCUUUCUUAAUACAGGGAUUAACUUGUACAUUUGGGCUUUUAGGUAGAAUUAAAUUUUGCAACUGAUACCUAAUUUGCUGUAAAUUGUUUUACAGGCUGCUGGCACCUUACUUCUAGCUGUUGGUUGCAAAUUCUAGUUGAUGAUUGUCAUCCAAAUGAAGUUCCUCUUGCAUGAUUUGUCUUAGCCUGUAGCUUCAGGAGCUCAUUUUUCUAUCCAAGAAUCCUCUCCAUGAAAAAUUAUAUAAAGUUUCACUGCUUUGCAUCAAGCACCGCAUUUUUCAUUUCAAAUUUGGAUAUUUGCUAGCUAGAGCAACAACAAGGAUGUGCACAGAUUUCAAACCAAUAAAGAACAAGGACUUCAACCCUUUCCUUCUCUUGUACAGUAUUUGAUCGGCAACUGCCAUAUUCUCUAGUUCAUACCAGAGGCACUGUCUUCCUUACCAUGUUUCAAUCAGUUUAAGAGCUUCUCAAACAAAAAGGGCGACUGCUCCUUUUGGAAGAUCUUUCUCUUUGAGGGUUUUCCUAACUCCUUGGUAGUGACUAUGGAUCCUAAGCUAAUCGAGGUGUUGCCCUUUUGAUGAAACUUGAAAGUGAUGCAUUCAGGCAUUUUGUGGGUUAACUUCCAAUUGCAGCAAUCCAUGAAAUUGGAGUUGGUUGAAUCUUAUUCACUACUUUUUUAGGGAAUGCUUUGUUGUUUGCACAAGGUGAAAAAUUAGAGAUUUACAAUGCUCCCAACUCAAGGAACUAUUAGUGUCAUUCCUAUGAAGAGGUGGAUAGCUCCCUAAUUCACUCUGGUAUCCUUAUGCAUCCUUCUUGUUAGUGUUAAUUAUGAGCUCGUGUUUUUAUGUUUCAUUUUUACUUCAGUUUUCAUAUUUUGCCCAACUUAAUUUGCCAUGGUUUACUUGCAUGUUCUAGAACCUUCUUUCGCAUAUGUCUAUUUGGUAGACUGCAUAUACUGAUCAUUGCUGUAACUUAUCUCAUUGAUUUUUACCAGACUUUUCAUCCUUAUGUUCUUGCCAAAUUUGAGGUUUUUUUGCGACAAUCUUGUGGUCGCUAUUGUGAUCCACAUGCAUGGCAUCAACCUCAAAUUUCUUGCAAUCUUUCUGAAGACUAGCUUCCCUACUCUGUUGAACGGAAUUUUUGUAUUGUUAUUAACUAAAAAGCUGGAGACAGAGAGGCUGUAUUUUCAGAUAUGAUUGAAACCAGGCUGGCUUUCCUUUUUUUUAUUUCCCUUUUCAAUUCCAACUUUCAUAAUGGAUGAAGUAAUUUAAUAGUCAAUAAUUGAUCAUUAUACAUCCCUAACACAGAAUUUUUAUUCACCCACAUCCCUGUGAUAUUGUGAAAAUUUUCCUCUACUUGUGAAUCCUGACAUGUAGUUUGUUUUAGUUCUGAAUCCAUUGGGUGUACUUGCAUUGACUUUAUAGUAUAUUCAUUUGUGCCUUUAUUGGUUGUUAAGGCAGAAGGUUUGUGUACUAUGUUUUCGUAUUUCCUUAUAAUUCCUUUGCAUGUCUGUUACGGUAUGAGCUGUGAAUUGUGCUGUUUAUUUAUUUUACUUUUUCUUUUCCUUCAUUUUGUUGUCAUUGCAGAAUUGCUCACAUUGCUCUUAUUGUUUUGGAAUUUUACACUUGAGAAGAUGGAUUGGGAUUUCAUCUGUAGUAGAAAUAUGUCAUAAUACUCAUGAAUAUAUGAGUUAUAUAAUUAUACUCAAAUACAUGGAUUCAUAAUAUUUCUCAAGUAGUGAAUUACAACACCUCAAUAUAAAAUUGAAGAACAAACUCAUCCUCUCAAAAAUAAAGAACAAAUCAAAUUCAAAUUCACCCUCUCAGAGUACUUGUUUCAAAAUGAAGCCUUAAGGAUUUGACAACUCUAUAAAUGGCAGUAACGGGUUUUUUCUGAAAACAAUGAAGAUGUGGGGGCACUUUCUCAUCUUGAAGAGCUUUACUUAAGACUGUCCUAAGCUAAUCGAGGUCCUGCCCUUCCAAUGAAACUUGAGGAUAAUGAAUAGGGGCAGAUUGUAGGUUAACUUCCAAUUGCAUAAUCCAUGAAUCAGAGUAGGCUGACUUUGGUUUGCUGCGUGUAACCAGGAAUCUUCUCUCUUCUUCCACACUGUCCUGAACACUAACUAGGACAAAUCUGCACAAGGUGAAAAUGAGGGAAUGCAAUAUUCCCAAGUCAGGGAACUAGUAUGGUGUCAUUCCUAUGAAGAGUUGGAUAGCUCCCUAAUUCACUCUGG
rnacentral:lncRNA from 1 species